rnacentral:rRNA from 1 species
UACGUAGGGUGCAAGCAUUAAUCGGAUUUACUGGGCGUAAAGGGCGUGUAGGCGGAUGCGAAAGUCGAAUGUGAAAACCCGGGACUCAACCCCGGAAACGCAUUCGAAACUUCGCACCUAGAGGAUAGAUGGAGAAAACGGAAUUCCACAUGUAGCGGUGAAAUGCGUAGAUAUGUGGAAGAACACCUGUGGCGAAGGCGGUUUUCUAAUUUAUUCCUGACGCUGAGGCGCGAGAGCUAGGGGAGCAAACAGG